rnacentral:rRNA from 1 species
UACGAAGGGGGCUAGCGUUGCUCGGAAUCACUGGGCGUAAAGCGCACGUAGGCGGAUUGCUAAGUCAGGGGUGAAAUCCUGGAGCUCAACUCCAGAACUGCCUUUGAUACUGGUGAUCUUGAGUCCGGGAGAGGUGAGUGUAACUGCGAGUGUAGAGGUGAAAUUCGUAGAUAUCAGGAGGAAUACCGGUGGCGAAAGCGACUCUCUGGACGGUUACUGACGCUGAGGCACGAAAGCGUGGGGAGCAAACAGG